rnacentral:rRNA from 1 species
GGACCUGAUAUUAGGCAAGAUUACCCGCUGAACUUAAGCAUAUUAAUAAGCGGAGGAAAAGAAACUAACAAGGAUUCCCCUAGUAACGGCGAGUGAAGCGGGAUGAGCUCAAGCUUAAAAUCUCUGUCACAUAUUUAUUAUGUGCGGCGAAUUGUAGUCUAUAGAAGCGUGGUCAGUGUAGGCACUUGAGAUAAGUUCCUUGAAAAAGGACAGCAUGGAGGGUGAAACUCCCGUUCAUACUUGAGUAGCUUAUGCGUACGACCCGUUUUCUUUGAGUCGCGUUGUUUGAGAAUGCAGCGCAAAGUAGGUGGUAAAUUCCAUCUAAAGCUAAAUAUUGGUGCGAGACCGAUAGCGAACAAGUACCGUGAGGGAAAGAUGAAAAGAACUUUGAAAAGAGAGUUAAAGAGUACCUGAAACUGCUGAAAGGGAACCGGAUCGUUUCUAGUGUCUAUAAUCUGUGACAUAUUUCAUUGGGGAGUGUGUGCGUGUGUAUACUAUGGCAGUGGCUUUUUUGGCUGCGCUUGGUGUGCGUGCUGUAUGUGCUUACUGGUGCCCUGUGUUGCGGUGGGACGUCAAGGUCGGUUUGUAUACUGCGGGAAAUGGCUAUUGAGGAGGUAGGGCUUACGCUUGCGUUUGUCUAUUAUAUCUUGGUAGUUGUGUCGUGGUUGAGACUGAGGUGUCUACAACGUGCUUAUGAGUGGGACUGUGUCUCCGUGUGCGCCGUGUGCGGAUAGCUUGCUAUGUGUGUGUGGUGGUGUGUGGAUUGAUGCGGGCUUUAACUUGUUGCCGUUCGGGACGUUGGCGAAAUAGAGCGAUUUGACCCGUCUUGAAACACGGACCAAGGAGUCUAACAUGUGUGCAAGUGUUAGGGUGUGGAAACCCAAGCGCGAAAUGAAAGUAAAGGAUAGUGUAAACUGUCUGAGGUAGGAAAUGCUGCGGAUUUCGGUCUGUGGCGUGGCACUAUCGACCGAUCAUGAACCUUCGUGGUGAAAGAUUUGAGUUUGAGCACAUAUGUUGGUACCCGAAAGAUGGUGAACUAUGCCUGAGUAGGGUGAAGCCAGGGGAAACUCUGGUGGAAGCUCGUAGCGAUUCUGACGUGCAAAUCGAUCGUCGAACUUGGGUAUAGGGGCGAAAGACUAAUCGAACCAUCUAGUAGCUGGUUCCCUCCGAAAUUUCCCUCAGGAUAGCAGCAACUCAUUUACGAUAGUUUUAUGAGGUAAAGCGAAUGAUUAGAGGAUUCGGGGAAGAAACUUUCUCGACCUAUUCUCAAACUUUAAAUCUGUAAGACCUGCAGGUUUCUUAAUUGAACUUGUGGAUGUGAAUAUCAAGUUGUUAGUGGGCCAUACGGGGUAAGCUCGUCUGGCGAUGCGGGAUGAACCGAACGCAAAGUUAAAGUGCCAAAAUACUCGCUCACCUAGAUACCAUAAAAGGUGUUGGUUCAUAUAGACAGCAGGACGGCCAUGGAAGUCCGAAUUCGCUGAGGAAUGUGUAACAACAACUCACCUGCCGAAUGAACUAGCCCUGAAAAUGGAUGGCGCUAAAGCGGGUUACUUAUACUUUGCCGUUAGCGCGAUAACAUGAGUAGUGUAAGCGUUAAUGAGUAGGAGGGCGUGUGGGUCGUUAAGAAGCUUGUGACGUAAGUCUGAGUGAAACGGCCUUCAGUGCAGAUCUUGGUGGUAGUAGCAAAUAUUCAAAUGUGAACUUUGAAGACUGAAGUGGAGAAAGGUUCCGUGUGAUCAGUAAUUGGACACGGGUGAGUCGAUCCUAAGAGAUAGGAAAAUUCCGAUUGAAAGUAGAGCAGUUUGAGGCGCGGGUUUACUCGUGUUUUAUUAUAGCUUCGAGUAUCGAAAGGAAAUCAGGUUAAAAUUCCUGAACCGAGACGUGGAUAAUAGUUCGUAAACAACCGAACCAGGAGACGCUAGCGUGAGCCCAGGGAAGAGUUCUCUUUUCUUUUUAACAAGCAUGUCCUACCUUGGAAACGGAUUAUCCGGCGAUAAGGAGGAAGUCUUGGCAAAGCACUUUAUUUUUUGAAGUGUCCUGCGCGCCCAUGUCAGCCCUUGAAAAUCCUGGCUAGAGAUUUAUUCGCACCCUCGUUCGUACUCAUAACCGCAUCAGGUCUCCAAGGUGAGCAGCCUCUAGUUGAUAGAAGAAUGUAGAUAAGGGAAGUCGGCAAAAUAGAUCCGUAACUUCGGGAAAAGGAUUGGCUCUGAGGGUUGGGCCUAGGGGUCUUUGUGGAGUGCUUGUGGCGGCCUACGCUGGACUGUGUAUGGUUCUUUCGGGGACUGAAUGCGGUUUGGUGGUCGGGCUACUCUUGCUGUGCCAUGAAGAAAGGUAGUUGACUUUCGGGUUGGCCGCUGUUUCCUUAGUGCGUUGAACAACCAGCUCAGAACUGGAGCGGACAAGGGGAAUCCGACUGUUUAAUUAAAAAAAGAAUUGUGAUGGCCGGAGAUGGUGUUGACACAAUGUUAUUUCUGCCAGUGCUUUGAAUGUCAAAGUCAAGAGAUUCAACCAAGCGCGGGUAAACGGCAGGAGACUAUGACUCUCUUAAGGUAGCCAAAUGCCUCGUCAUCUAACUACACCGAUUACCUUAAUCAGUGCGGACCAUACUAUCUAUUAACCACAUGUUCUUAAGUCGCUCACAGGUAUUAGUGCGGACCACACUAUUGAUGAAUCCGCACUAAUUGUGGGCUUGGAGAUUUAGUAUGGACCGCACUAAUUUUGGAUGCGGAGAAUUAGUACGGAUUCAUAAUAACCGAAACAGCGCAGUAUGUAAUAAUGUACUUGGCUACAUGAUUCAAAGCCCAGUUGGAACGGGAGUGCCAUCGUAGUGGAUGCGAUAUUUGCGAAUAAUUUGUUGCAGUUCCGGCGUCAAUUGCGAUUCGUGCCAUCGAUCACUGACAUCAAGUGCCAUGCCACAACGAAUCAUAGACUACGUCAAGCCGCAACUGUCGCGCAUCCCGUUCACCGCGCGUACGGAUGUGGCGGCGAGUUUCAAGAAGAAGCGUUUGCCCGAGUUCUUCAGCUUUCCUGACCAAGACCCGGUUUUACGCACGGUGUCCGACCAGUCGCCUUUUUAUCAUGCGCAUCUUCUCGACCUCCCACAAUCGGGUCCAUUCGUCUUUGAUUUUUGAGAUGACGAAAGCGUCAGCAGGCUGAACAAGAUCGGUGGCGCAGAGUGAAAAUAGCGUAGUUCAGUGUUGGUC